ACAAUGCGGAACUUUUAGUUUUGCAAUUGGAUUGAGAACAAUGUACAAAUGUUAUCGAUAAACAAUUGGAGGGCAAGUCUGGUGCCAGCAGCCGGGUAAUUCCAGCUCCAAUAGCGUAUAUUAACGUUGUUGCAGUUAAAAAGCUCGUAGUUGAAAUGUGGGAUGAAGUAUAUAAUGAAUUUCUAAUUCAAUUGUAUAUUGAUUCCCCUCUCCAAUUUAUUAUUAUGGGGAUUAAUUUAUUUGGAAUAAGAAUUGGUCAUUUACUGUGAGAAAAUUAGAGUGUUCAAAGCAGGCAUUUGCUUGAAUAGAUUAGCAUGGAAUAAUACUAAAAGGCUUUUAUGGUCGAUUUAAUUGGUUUGUUCAUAAAAGCAAGAUUAAAAGGAACAGUUGGGGGUAUUCAUAUUCAAUAGUUAGAGGUGAAAUUCUCGGAUUUAUGGAA
rnacentral:rRNA from 1 species